UGACCUCGGAGCAGGUAGGGAUACCCGCUGAACUUAA
rnacentral:rRNA from 2 species